CUACGGGUCGCUCCAGUGGGGAAUAUUGGACAAUGGGGGAAACCCUGAUCCAGCAAUGCCGCGUGUGUGAAGAAGGCCUGCGGGUUGUAAAGCACUUUCGGUUGGGAGGACUGCUUCUAGCACUAAUAUUGUUGGAAAUUGACGUUACCUUCAGAAGAAGCACCGGCUAACUCCGUGCCAGCAGCCGCGGUAAUACGGAGGUGCAAGCGUUAAUCGGAAUUACUGGGCGUAAAGCGCGCGUAGGCGGCUAGAUCAGUCGGGUGUGAAAGCCCCGGGCUUAACCUGGGAACUGCAUCCGAUACUGUCUAGCUUGAGUACAGGAGAGGAGAGUGGAAUUCCACAUGUAGCGGUGAAAUGCGUAGAUAUGUGGAGGAACACCAAUGGCGAAGGCAGCUCUCUGGCCUGAUACUGACGCUGAGGUGCGAAAGCGUGGGGAGCAAACAGGAUUAGAUACCCGAGUAGUC
rnacentral:rRNA from 1 species